UAAAAAAAUAUUUUGGAGGGUAGUAUAUAUAACCCUUGCACAUUGUUUAAAAAAUACUCAAAUAUAUUAGUCAGCAGGUGAAAACAUAUAUAAUGGGUAAAUUCUACCUACACUACCUAUUUGUAAACAGUAACAACUGCAACUUAAAAAAAUAGUGUAACACAUACUCAAAAAUUACUGGACCCGCGUGCCUUUGUCCUCGAGGGAGUUGAGCUGCUGCGCUGCUGUUUUGAAGGUAAGAUGUUGCUGUGUUUGAGCGCUAAAUUUAAUGUAAGUGUAAACCCUUUGAACAAGAUUUGUAGUCUGUGUUGUGUACAAGUGAACAUUGCUGAGGCUUUGUAGGGCAAUUCAACUUGGGCACUGUUUGGUGUAUUUUGAUUAGACCAGUGAUUCUGACUCCCGGACCUGGAUUAGCUGCCAUUCCCCUGCAGAUUUCAGUGUUUCCCCUAAUUAGUAUGAGGUGAACACUGAUAGGAACACAAGCAGUGUAGUGGCAGGCUGUGACUGUCUGAACGCCACUGGACUGGACUCAGGAGGCACGUUUGUGAUUAUUUCCCUCGCGCGGGCUUCACAGUACUUACAGCCGAAUAUGGUGCCCACUAGCACAUUUAGCUGGUCUGGCCAAACUCUCACAUCGUUUCAACCUGAAGUGUUAACUGCAUAUCCUGGACUUCUCUGUGUGAAGGUCUUCAAGUCUUGGACUCUCUUUCCUGUGGGCCUUAUACCAGUUUUCACAAAAGAUAUAUGAACACAAAAUAUUUGUACUUUUGUGAAGAGGGUGUCUGACUAAACUCAGCACUUAUUGAAGACCCGAAACUGACUAAAAUGGGAGUGUUGCCUUGUUGCAGAUGAUUUGGUUGUGCAAAAUAUGUAAUUUCUCAUCCUUAAAACGAUUGGCUCUACUGAAACACUACAGAUUACAACAUGGGCAUUUUGGUCGAAACCAGUCCAUACCCUGUCUCCAUUCGGAUUGCCCUUGCUCAUUUAGGACAUGGGGUGCAUUACGUACACAUUUGUCCAGGGAUCACCCCCAGACUACUAAACCAGGCCAGCUCCUUUCUUUCACAUGCCUAGUGUGUAAUUUAUGUUAUUUCCACACAGAAAGACAAUAUUUUGAGCACCUUGGUGGACACCUAAAAAAGUUUGAAACGGUGCCUUGUGUUUUUAAAGAAUGUGAUUACAAAACAAAUAUAUACACAACAUUCCACAGUCACAAGAGUAGAAAACACAAUCCCCAUUCAGUGGAGGAUUUUAAGACUGCUGUUUUCCGUGAGAACCAUGGCCAAGUGCUUGAAGAAAGUGAAGUUUCUGAAUGUGAAAACUACUGUGACUCUGUUCUUGAGGCAGACGAGGACUUGAAAAAAACAAUUAUUAAGAGACUGGGGUUAGUUCUUCUUAAACUGGAAUGCAUUUUCAAUGUAUCUAAUACAUGUAUUGAUGAACUAGUUGAGGAACUUUGUUUCCUUACAUCAUCUGCUUCUGGACCAGUUCUAAAAGAAAUUAUACUGAGCACCUUGAGGAAGCAUGGCUGUACUUUUGAAGAUUCUGUGAUUUCAGAGCUGGUGAACGACCUUUGCCAGCUAAACCCCUUCUGUGCUGCUUUAAUAAGUGAUUACAUUCUUUAAUUAUAGAACUUCAAAGUGUUUGGUGGAGCUGACAAAUAGACAAUGGGUGUAGUAAAAGAAGUGGCUGGUCUCUGUAAAAAAAUUGCAAAUAGGCAUGAGUUGAAAAAAGUGAUAGUUUAUGUUCCUUUAAUUUCAGCAAUCUGAAAUACCCCAGACCUAAGUAUUCUACUGUUUUGUAAUGCAGUUGUUCAAGAAAUGUGUUGAAGCUGUUAAUGGUGUUAAUGAAGUGGCUGGUCUCUGUAUAAGUUGAAAAAUAGACUCAUGAGUUGAUAGUGUUAUAACAUUUUGUGAUGCAGUUCAAACGUGUUGAAGCAUAAGACUGUUUGAGAGGAUGUACAUGUUCAAGAAACUUUGGUUUUAACUGUGUGCAUAGUGAAAAAAAUACUUUUGUAUCUUUGUGUUUUUGAAGGCACACUUAAUAAAAAAAAGUUGGCCUCAAAA